rnacentral:RNase_P_RNA from 1 species
GAGGAAAGUCCGGGCUCCAUAGGGCAGGGUGCCAGGUAACGCCUGGGAGGCGCAAGCCUACGACUAGUGCAACAGAGAGCAAACCGCCGAUGGCCCACGCAAGUGGGAUCAGGUAAGGGUGAAAGGGUGCGGUAAGAGCGCACCGCGCGACUGGCAACAGUUCGUGGCACGGUAAACUCCACCCGGAGCAAGGCCAAAUAGGGGUUCACAUGGUACGGCCCGUACUGAACCCGGGUAGGCUGCUUGAGCCAGUGAGUGAUUGCUGGCCUAGAUGAAUGACUGUCCACGACAGAACCCGGCUUA